ensembl:lncRNA
GGCUGAUAUAAGAUAGGGCCAGGAUAGAUAGGUAGACUGAUAUAAGAUAGGGCCAGGAUAGAUAGGUAGACUGAUAUAAGAUAGGGCCAGGAUAGAUAGGUAGGCUGAUAUAAGAUGGGGCCAGGAUAGAAAGGUAGACUGAUAUAAGAUAGGGCAAGGAUAGAUAGGUAGGCUGAUAUAAGAUGGGGCCAGGAUAGAAAGGUAGACUGAUAUAAGAUUGGGCCAGGAUAGAUAGGUAGACUGAUAUAAGAUGGGGCCAGGAUAGAUAGGUAGACUGAUAUCAGAUGGGGCCAGGAUAGAUAGAGAGUGGCUGAUAUAAGAUGGGGCCAGGAUAGAUAGGUAGGCUGAUAUAAGAUGGGGCCAGGAUAGAUAGGUAGACUGAUAUAAGAUGGGGCCAGGCUGGAUAGGUAGGCUGAUAUAAGAUGGGGCCAGGAUAGAUAGGUAGGCUGAUAUAAGAUGGGGCCAGGAUAGAUAGGAAGACUGAUAUAAGAUGGGGCCAGGAUAGAUAGGUAGACUGAUAUCAGAUGGGGC